GCACAAUUCAGCUGAGAGGCAUCCAGUCUGAGGAAACAGAAUCAGCUGAGGAAUUGGCAAGACAUGAUACAGUGCAGAACAGCAGAGGGCUCAUCCUCUUCGCUCUGCCCCUGACCUCACCCCUGAGCCUGGAGGUGGGCAUCUGAGUGCCAAUCACCUCCUCCUCUGGGCCAGAGGAACCAACCACCACCUUCACAGGCACGUUCUGAAACCAGCUUUGUAACUCUGGGGCUCAGACUGAGAAGCUGAUGUGAGGAACAGACAUCCCAGAUCCCUGCUAACUUGAAGAUGAUCAUGUCCUUAAAAUCACUGACUUUUGAAAGCUGUGGACUGGCAGGGAGGAAACCACUCCUUCCUUACAAAUGACUGCUCUUUGCAGUAUCUUUACAGUUCCAGGUAGGCUAAGAGGAAAGGUUUCUUCUACAAAGAAACAACAGUGUUCUGUAAAUUAAACUGUGAGGUCCCAGAGUUAGUGAUCUUGAGACAUCCUCAAAGCACAAUUGGACUAGCGUAAGUGGUGGUCACAUGACCUAAGUGCAGCCAAUCAAAAUGUGCAAAUCUGUGUGGAAGAAGGAAAGAAGUUGCUUUUCCAGUUGCUGAGAAGAUUGGAUAUAAGCCUGGAGCUUCUGGCAUCUGUCUUAGUUCCAUGUAGGAAAGGCUCACCUGAGAAUAGAGCCUCCACAAAACAGGGAGAGGUGGGGAAAGGAAAGGCUGGAUGACAUUCCUUAAAAUCAGGA